rnacentral:rRNA from 1 species
GAUAAACGCUGGCGGCGUGCAUAACACAUGCAAGUCGAACGAUGAAGAUUAAAAGAUUUCUUCGGAAUGAACUUAAUUGGAUUAGUGGCGGACGGGUGAGUAACGCGUGAGUAACCUGCCUUGUACAAGGGGAUAGCCGUUGGAAACGACGAAUAAUGCCCUAUGACAUCAAAUAAUCGCAUGAUAAUUUGAUCAAAGAUUUAUCGGUAUAAGAUGGACUCGCGUCUGAUUAGCUAGUUGGUAGAGUAAAAGCCUACCAAGGCAACGAUCAGUAGCCGGCUUGAGAGAGUGUACGGCCACAUUGGGACUGAGACACGGCCCAGACUCCUACGGGAGGCAGCAGUGGGGAAUUUUGCACAAUGGGGGAAACCCUGAUGCAGCGACGCCGCGUGAUUUAGAAGGCCUUCGGGUUGUAAAAAUCUUUUGUAUGGGAAGAAAAUGACAGUACCAUACGAAUAAGGACCGGCUAAUUACGUG